rnacentral:lncRNA from 1 species
UGCUCCAGCACAUGCAGGCUGCUAAGGGAGCUGGCGGCGGCGGUGGCUCCUUCGCUGGCGACAACAAGGCCGGCUGGCGGCCGCGCCUCGAGAGCAUCCUCGAGAGCUCGGAGACCCAAAGCUGAUACCGGCCUGAGCAUGUCCUCGCUGGACCGGCUCCUUGAAUUCAGAUCUUGUCCAUGCCUGUAGGUUUGUCGCUUGCUUUCUUGAUGUUUGGUCUGGAUCGGUGGAGAUGGAGGCCGUCGAUGGAUCGGAGUCAGGGAGAGGCUUAAAUUCUUGUUGUGUUUUUUUAACAAGGGACUGGCCUUGUUACAACUCUGCUACUAGGCUGGAGCCUGGAGGGAGGGACGAUGAUCCAUCAGAUGGGCUAUGUUACUCUGUAGAUCAUCGAGAUGUUAAUUAGGUCUCUUGUGCAGUGCAGCUCAGCCAAUUAGCAUCUUCUUUCACUUUUUGCCUUUUUGCGCUGUUACUUAGAUCAUAAUCUUUCGUAAAUAGCGGUGCGAAUGAGAUGGCAUCUGAAGCCCUCUGUGUCUGUAAUAAUCUCCUCUGACUAGGUCCUGAAUCUGAUUGAUUCUUCCUAAGUAGGAGGAGCACCCUGCUCGCUAGAUGUCAAGACUUGGGACAGUGCUUUCACUUCGGUUUGGAACCGUGAGUAACGUUCUAAUGAAGAUGAAUAUGAAUUUGGUGUGCU